rnacentral:lncRNA from 1 species
GCUGGACUGCCAUAUGGAUAAAAUCUCAUUUAUGUCUCUGUCUUCUUGGCAUAAAACAGGAAGCCAACCUACCCUUCCAAAUCAAAAGUACCAAGGGGCAAGCAAGCUGCUGCAUGGUAUACACCUCUGCUGUGGGUGGCACCCUGACCGCUGGACUGCCAGUCCUGUACUAUUGAUCCAUCUCCCAUGACGUAGGGAACACAUAGGAGAUGUUCACAUGAUAUCAGCUAGAGCUGUUCUUGGUCUCAUCUGCUGGAACUGUUUAAUCUCUGAUAACAUCAAAUGAUCAGCACUACAAUUGGUCAUACAUUGUUUGAUCUGGCUUUAUUUUAGUUUUCCUUUUUCUCAUACUGUGGAAUAUUUUGACAUUUGUUGAAACUCCCCCAGACUUCCAACUUUCCAUUUGGAAAUUGAUUGAAACAACAUAGUUUAUUUUCAGUAGAAACUGAAUUUAAAUAUGCCAGACCACAUGUUUCAGGGCUUCUCUGAUGUCUCCUAGGAGUCACUUUUCAGAUAACCUGUGCUCCCAUUCUUCCAUCAGGGCAAAGCUGGGCUGAGCUCUCUGUAUAGUUUCUGUGCCUCAUGAUCUUCUUGUUGUACAUCUUGCCUCAUUUACUUAAGUAAUUCAAUCUUAUAACACUUGCUGGGUGGGGAAAUUUUUCAUUUUUUGGUAAGAAUAAACAUUCAGAAGAAAGCA